rnacentral:lncRNA from 1 species
CGUGGUGGCCACGACCCCGUGGUGGCCCUGACCGUCCCUGUGGUGGCCACGACCGUCCCCGUGGUGGCCACGACCCCGUGGUGGCCCUGACCGUCCCUGUGGUGGCCCUGACCGUCCCUGUGGUGGCCACGACUGUCCCCGUGGUGGCCAUGACCCCGUGGUGGCCCUGACCAUCUCUGUGGUGGCCCUGAAGCCAUGGUGGCCACAACCGUCCCCGUGGUGGCCACGACCGUCCCUGUGGUAGCCCUGACCCCAUGGUGGCCCUGAAUCCAUGGUGGCCACGACCGUCCCUGUGGUGGCCAUGACCAUCCCUGUGGUGGCCCUGACAGUCCCCACGGUGGCCACGACCCCACGGUGGCCCUGACCCCAUGGUGGCCCUGACCGUCCCCGUGGUGGCCGCGAGCCCGUGGUGGCCCUGACCGUCCCUGUGGUGGCCCUGACAGUCCCCACGGUGGCCACCACCCCACGGUGACCCUGACCCCAUGGUGGCCACGACUGUCCCUGUGGUGGCCACGGUGGCCUUGGUGGCCCUGGCCACCUCCUGCCUCUUCCGGUGGUGGCCCUGGCUGUUCCUGGUGGUGGCCUCUGUGGUGGCCCCUGUGGCAGUGCCUGUGGUGGCCCUGGCCACCUCCUGGUUCCUCCUGUGGUGGCCCUGUCCGUCCUGGUGGUGGCCCUGCUCAUUCCCAUGGUGGCCUUGGUGGCCCUGACCACUCCUGGUGGUGGCCCUGCUCAUCCCCUUGGUGGCCCUGGUCCUUCCCAUGGUGGCCUUGGUGGCCCUGGCCACCUCCUGGCCCUUUCUGUGGUGGCCCUGCUCAUCCUGGUGGUGGCCUUGGUGGCCCUGUCCGUCCUGGUGGUGGCCCUGCUCAUCCCCUUGGUGGCCUUGGUGGCCCUGACCAUUCCUGGUGGUGGCCCUGCUCAUCCCCUUGGUGGCCUUGGUGGCCCUGGCCAUCUCCUGACCCUUCCUGUG